rnacentral:tRNA from 1 species
GUGUUUAUAGUAUAUAAAAUACGCUUGCUUUUCACGUAAGAAAAAUAGGAUUUCUGUUAAGCACA